rnacentral:ncRNA from 6 species
CGCGGGUAAACGGCGGGAGUAAC